rnacentral:lncRNA from 1 species
UAUAUUUAAAAUACUUCACUAAAUAUUUUAUGCAUUUCUAUGUCCUAUUUUAUUAGAAUUAAUAAUAAUAUAAUGUAUUGUCAAUUUUCUCCCUAAAUUGAAUAUAUUUCUCUACAGUUUUCUCAAGAGGGAUUUGCAGAGACAGGAUGCUAUGAAAUUACCUCUCCCAUGCCCUCCACAGUACUAAGACUGAGGUACCUGUCUACAUCAAAAGAUGAGUACUACAAUGCAGAUGACUUAGCCAGUUGGCUGACUAGGGAUGUUGGAUGCCAGGUCUCCUCAGAAAGAUCAAAGUUACAGGUGAAUGCCCAUGAUUUAAAUGGAAAUCUGAGGGAAUGAAGCAAGGACCUGUUGGAGCACCCAUGGGAAGAACCUGGGGCACAAAAGAGGAAAGCAGCAAGAGACUGACAGAGAUUGUCUCCCUAGAAACCUGGACCACGAAAAGGGUGGAGAGGAGAAAACUCUGUGCUAAAUAUUACUCCUGGAAAAGUGCAUUUGCUUCGGAGAAAUCUUUAUCAUGGGUCUCUAAGAGGAAGGAACAAUAGCAUCUUCUAUGUGCCGAGGUAGCGCAAUAAUGAACUCUGUUCAAGUGGAUCAAAAGCCAUCAAGGUCAAAAUUAGGCACAGGAUAUGGAUGUUACUUUUUCUCCAAGCAUAGGGAAAGUGCCUCUGAAAUAAAGAUUUUAUGACUUGCUUCAGGAAAGAAGAGCAAGAGGAAGGUGACGGUGAUCUUCCUGAAUCUGCUGUUUUCUCAAAUGCCCAGACGGAAUUUUGCUCUUGUUGCCCAGGCUGGAGUGCA